rnacentral:tRNA from 1 species
GCCGGCGUAGCUCAACUGGCAGAGCGUUCGCCUUGUAAGCGAAAGGUUCGGGGUUCGAGUCCCCGCGUCGGCUCCA